AAUAGAAAUUCUGAAUCAAUGUUAUAAGAUUGUUCUGAAAGACAAAAUGGUUGGCCAGGUAGACUGAAACAAAGGACAUAAGAUGGCUGCUGACCAGACUUGCUGGAACCGGCUGCAAUUAAGGAAAUCACAAUGUCUUGCAAUUACUGUGUAGUCAUGAAUAAAGGAUCAAAGCCCCAGUCUGACAAGAUUGAGGAAUACACAACCCCCCCCCUAGCCAGAAAGACUAAGGAAUGUACUGGUCUGAGAUUAUGCGUGGUUCCUCUAACAUCCCCUUAUAUGGACAUACUUGGUUUCCUGUAUUCUCCCAACGUGUUGGUCCUUUGAUCGGGGGGAAUGUGGGAGGUGCUAAACGGUGGCAUUAACAUAUAAAGAGCCUUGCAAUUAAGGGCAGGCAGCUUGACUCUUUGCCAGGUUGUAACCUGUGUGGAGAUUCCUGCUCAAUAAAACGUACGUUUAAAGCAACCCUGGUGCCUGAUCGAUUAUUGUCGAAACAACCGAUGUGAGAGAGAAACGUGAAUCAACAUUUUGGUGUCAGGAGUGGGAUGUCAACCAGCGACUGAUCGAGCCGGCGAGUGAAUCCACUGGGCGACGGGAUCGAUGUGAAGGGUGCGCAGCCAAGUGAGUAGAUUUAGUUAAAUCUCCUCUUGGUCCUUCCUCGUAUCCCGGCGUAGCAGGGUAAUUCGCUGACUUGCGUCAGUUGGUGGGACGACAGCCGAACAUUCCGGUUGUGGGCACGGGGAUAGGGCCGUCUCGAGGAUUAUCCUAGUCUGAUCGAGCGGAUAAAACACCCCGUAGAGGGGGACCGUAGACGGUAUAUAAGAGGAGUGCACUGUGUAUAGGAAGUUAACUAGUUGAAAGAGUUAACAAGUGGUGAGUGUUAACUGAGACCAAGGUACAAGAUAUCUCACAGAAAGUCCACUUUAAAGUGGCCGAGUGAGAUACGACGGAACCAAGGACUCACGGUUAACCCUGAAAUUUUGUUGUGAUAAUUGUGUAAUAAAGUUAACUAGUGUUGAGACGUUAACUGAGACCAAGGUACCCCCAUAUCUCACAGAAAGUCCACUUUAAAGUGGCCGAGUGAGAUACGGAGGAACCAAGGGCUCUAGGUUAACCCUGAAAGAGUUAGCAAGUGGUGAGUGUUAACCGAGACCAAGGUACCCCCAUAUCUCACAGAAAGUCCACUUUAAAGUGGCCGAGUGAGAUACGACGGAACCAAGGACUCACGGUUAACCCUGAAAUUUUGUUGUGAUAAUUGUGUAAUAAAGUUAACUAGUGUUGAGACGUUAACUGAGACCAAGGUACCCCCAUAUCUCACAGAAAGUCCACUUUAAAGUGGCCGAGUGAGAUACGGAGGAACCAAGGGCUCUAGGUUAACCCUGAAAGAGUUAGCAAGUGUUGAGUGUUAGCCGAGACCAAAGUACCUCCGUAUCUCACAGAAAGUCCGCCUUAGACUGGUUGUUAAGAGAGGAAAUCCUCCACGCGAAGGUCAGGAAUUGAAGUGACCGAGUGAGAUACGGUGGAACCAAGGACUCGCGGUUAACCCUGAAAUAUUGUGUGUAAUAGUAAUAAGUUUAAAAAUGGGUAAUGGUAUGGACACCAGUGGUCACCCAGACCGGCCAUUACAUCAGCUAUGUUUCUUGCAUCCAGAAAUGGAGGAGACCUUUAGGCGUAUGUCGGGAGGACUCUUUCAUAAACUGGGGAAGGAUGAAUGGCCUGAAGGGGGUUAUGAGUGUGUUAUCAAGAGCCCAAAGUGUAAUAUGGAGAACGGAUUAAAAAAAAAAAAAAAAAAAAAUGUAAAAGGGCCAUUCAGUUGUGGAUCGAUCAUUGUAACAAAGAAAAGGCACGGUCUUUAACGGCCAGUUGGCAGAGCAAUGCCUUGAAACAGGAAUACCCCUGACCGAGGGGGGUCAGGAGAAGUCAGUGACAGUAUUAAAACAGGAAUGCAGGCAUGCUAAAGAAAGUAAGGAUCGUCAGGAGAGAGAGAGAGAAAAUAUGGCCAAGGUAGAUAAAGACUUACGUAAGUCGGUGGCUGGCAUAGAUUUGGGAGGUGACGACGAGGAGGAGGUAGAGGAUUAUCCUUGGGGAGUCCGUGGAGCACCCCCGUUGAACCAGCCUGCCCCCGUUGCCAGUCCUGUGUAUCCUCCUGCCCUCUGCGGUAGCCGUAAUCAAAUGUGCGGCCCACACGACAGGAGAUUCCCCGGUCCAAAUCGGUAACAGGUUGGCUGACGAUGCGGCUAAGUGUGCUUCACGCGGUAGAUUUAAAGUGGUGGGUAGUAUGAUGAGGCAGGUGAAAAGCCUUUAUAUGGGCUCGUCUGAAUCUGAGAAACCUAUGCCAACCAUAAAUGAUGUAUUGCUCUUACAGGGGGACGCCUCUGCUAAUGUUAUAAGUGAAUGGGAGCAGCUGGGCUGUAGGAAGGCUGACUCCGGAUUGUGGCUCAUGCCGGCCGGACAGACCUGUAUGACAGACCAGUUAGCGACCUGGGUCGUUGAUUGCCUACAUCUAGCCACUCACUGUGGGGCCACCUUGCUAGUAGACGCUCUCUUACAGGCAUGGUGGCAUCCUUGACUUAAGGUUUUGGCAGCCCAAACUAGUGCACGGUGCCUCACCUGCGCUACACACAACCCUGGUAAAGGAGUUGUCUGCCAGACGGGUCGUACUCCAUUACCUACUGCUCCGUUUGAAACCUUGCAGAUGGAUUUUAUUGAUUUGCCUAAGUGUCAGUGUUAUAAACAUGUACUUGUUAUUGUUGAUGUGUUUUCUAGAUGGAUUGAAGCCUUUCCAACCACUGAUUGCACUGCCUCUACGGUGGUGUCUAUUUUAUUACGGCAGGUUGUUCCUCGCUUUGGGGUUCCAAACACCAUCAGUUCGGAUAACGGCCCUCACUUCAUUGCCGCUAUCAAUAAAGAAUUGUACAGACAGCUGGGCGUAACCCAGCGGCUACAUUGUGCUUAUCGCCCACAGGCUGCAGGAAUGGUGGAACGCUUGAACCAGACCCUGAAGACCAAGCUUGCCAAGCUGGUGGACCAAUCAGGCUCCACCUGGGUUAAAAUGUUGCCUGUUGCUUUGUUCCAGAUCAGAGUCCUUCCAGCAGGGAAGACAAGGUUGUCUCCUGCAGAGAUCAUCUAUGGCCGACCUCUGCGCACCCCUUGGACAGACAUUAUCCCGGCCACAAUGACGUUGCAUCACAUGACGGAGGAGAUGAUACGAAAUAAAUCGCUGAGAUGAGGGUCUUUGUGGCAUUAAUAUGUGUGGCGACCACUGCAGGGUUAAUCGGUUUCGGCUGGAAAUGGACAAAGACUGAAUACGGACGGAACAAACGAGGAAAGAGAGGGGAACGAGAAAACUCCAAUUUAUUCAUCCAGGCACACAACGAGCUAUUCGGGAAGGGGCAGGUGGUUUGUUAUCCACAAAUGACAUCAGUUACCUCCCUGUUUACCCCAUCCCCUGCAUGGGGCAGAACUGAACGACUGGUGAAGUGCCAGGACAAAAAAACGGUCCCUGUCAAGCCCGAUUAAUGGUGGCUUUAUCGGGUUUGGGGACCACCCCCGAGGAAACUAAAAGUUCUGUACGAAUGAUGAUCUUACAGCGUGAGCAGGAGAGACUGUUACCAUUCCCCAACGACAGCGAAAACGAUGAAGUGAGUGAGGAAGGAGAAUUGGGGGAUAAAGGUCAGACGGUCCAAGAAGCCUUGGCCAGGGAACUAGAAGGUUACGAGAUUCGGCGAAUGGGACUUUUAAAUGGACUAUGAGUGUUGCCAUAAGAAUGGCAAAAGGGGGGAAUGAUGAAUAGAAAUUCUGAAUCAAUGUUAUAAGAUUGUUCUGAAAGACAAAAUGGUUGGCCAGGUAGACUGAAACAAAGGACAUAAGAUGGCUGCUGACCAGACUUGCUGGAACCGGCUGCAAUUAAGGAAAUCACAAUGUCUUGCAAUUACUGUGUAGUCAUGAAUAAAGGAUCAAAGGCCCAGUCUGACAAGAUUGAGGAAUACACAACCCCCCCCCUAGCCAGAAAGACUAAGGAAUGUACUGGUCUGAGAUUAUGCGUGGUUCCUCUAACAUCCCCUUAUAUGGACAUACUUGGUUUCCUGUAUUCUCCCAACGUGUUGGUCCUUUGAUCGGGGGGAAUGUGGGAGGUGCUAAACGGUGGCAUUAACAUAUAAAGAGCCUUGCAAUUAAGGGCAGGCAGCUUGACUCUUUGCCAGGUUGUAACCUGUGUGGAGAUUCCUGCUCAAUAAAACGUACGUUUAAAGCAA